GUGGGGAAUUUUGGACAAUGGGCGCAAGCCUGAUCCAGCAAUGCCGCGUGCAGGAAGAAGGCCUUCGGGUUGUAAACUGCUUUUGUACGGAACGAAACGGUCCUGGCUAAUAUCCGGGGCUAAUGACGGUACCGUAAGAAUAAGCACCGGCUAACUACGUGCCAGCAGCCGCGGUAAUACGUAGGGUGCGAGCGUUAAUCGGAAUUAUUGGGCGUAAAGCGUGCGCAGGCGGUGCUGUAAGACAGGCGUGAAAUCCCCGGGCUCAACCGGGGAAUUGCGCUUGUGACUGCAGUGCUGGAGUGCGGCAGAGGGGGAUGGAAUUCCGCGUGUAGCAGUGAAAUGCGUAGAUAUGCGGAGGAACACCGAUGGCGAAGGCAAUCCCCUGGGCCUGCACUGACGCUCAUGCACGAAAGCGUGGGGAGCAAACAGGAUUAGAUACCCGUGUAGUCC
rnacentral:rRNA from 1 species